rnacentral:rRNA from 1 species
GAUUCAUGGCUCAGAUUGAACGCUGGCGGCAGGCUUAACACAUGCAAGUCGAACGGUAACAUAAAGAAGCUUGCUUCUUUGAUGACGAGUGGCGGACGGGUGAGUAAUGCUUGGGAAUCUAGCUUAUGGAGGGGGAUAACUACGGGAAACUGUAGCUAAUACCGCGUAGUAUCGAGAGAUGAAAGUGUGGGACCUUCGGGCCACAUGCCAUAGGAUGAGCCCAAGUGGGAUUAGGUAG